UACAGAGGGUGCGAGCGUUAAUCGGAAUUACUGGGCGUAAAGCGCGCGCAGGUGGUUUCUUAAGUCUGAUGUGAAAGCCCACGGCUCAACCGUGGAGGGUCAUUGGAAACUGGGGAACUUGAGUGCAGGAGAGAAGAGUGGAAUUCCACGUGUAGCGGAUGAAUGCGUAGAGAUGUGGAGGAACACCAGUGGCGAAGGCGGCUCACUGGCCCGGUACUGACGCUGAGGUGCGAAAGCGUGGGGAGCAAACAGG
rnacentral:rRNA from 1 species